GCCAUGGAAGGCAUUCUGAGCAGCACAGACCCCAUGGACCCAACCGAAGUGGCCGAUCUUUUCUAUGACUGUGUUGACACGGAGAUUAAGUUCUUUAAGUGAACAAAGGCUAUAAUGGGAAACCCAGCAAGGAUUCAGAUGAAUUCUCUGAAAUUGCAGUGAAGAAGCUCUUAGACCAGAACCCAUAGCCCUGACUCCACUUACAUCCCAAUAAAACAAUUAUUGACCACUGAAUGAAGAAGACAUGGUAUUAUCAAAGCAUACAGAUGGCAAGAGAGAUGUCAUGGCCCAGUGGAGAGAGCUGGCCUUGGGGUCAGGGAGACCCGGAUUAAAAUCCUGCCUCUUUGGUCCACAGUUGUCACAAAAAUCCAGUUCUCCCAAGCCAUGGUGGCUUCCUUAAUUAGAUUCUUCAUUGCCAAUGUUGAUCAUUUUAGGCCACUUCUAGGUCCCAUUAAGUGUUUCUGAUUCUGUGUCAGUGUGUGCUUUCUCUGACUAAACCCAAACACUGUGUGAACCUUCAUUUGAGAAUUUCUUGUGGAAACUCACCUGUACCUGUUUGCAUUGACUUGUGAUAAACGGACGUGUCUUCCCUGGAAAAAUAUGCUUUGUUGAAAACAAUAAAAGAAGGAACAUUCAUUUUCCUGGCAUGGGAGCAGAUCGUGUAGUUAUGAUGAUGCUUUUUUUAACCAAUGCCUUUGAACAGAAGGAUAGUCUCACCCAGCUCUUGCCUCUGACUUUGUCUUUAAAUGCAUUAUGCGGAAAAUUAAAACUGUACUGAAGCACCCCA